AUUGAACGCUGGCGGCAUGCUUUACACAUGCAAGUCGAACGGUAACAGGCCGCAAGGUGCUGACGAGUGGCGAACGGGUGAGUAAUGUAUCGGAACGUGCCCAGUCGUGGGGGAUAACGCAGCGAAAGCUGUGCUAAUACCGCAUACGAUCUAUGGAUGAAAGCGGGGGACCGUAAGGCCUCGCGCGAUUGGAGCGGCCGAUAUCAGAUUAGGUAGUUGGUGGGGUAAAGGCCUACCAAGCCGACGAUCUGUAGCUGGUCUGAGAGGACGACCAGCCACACUGGGACUGAGACACGGCCCAGACUCCUACGGGAGGCAGCAGUGGGGAAUUUUGGACAAUGGGCGCAAGCCUGAUCCAGCAAUGCCGCGUGCAGGAC
rnacentral:rRNA from 1 species